UUUGAGUUCUUUCUCUUUUGGGACUACAUUGGAAGCACAUGGCCAAAAAGUAAAAUCUCUUCAAGAAGUGAGUACUUUAGUUAGUUAGUUGUGCAAGAAAAAUUAGCAUUUGGUCAUUUCCAAAGUUACAUAUGGUUUGUGCAAACUUGAUGCAAGUUGUCGACGCGUGUAGAAAUGGAAAAAUGGAGCCCCCUUAGCAGUCCCGAGCAGCUAAUCGAGUGACAUUUAAAAGGGCGCAAACGUUACAUCGGAGCAUGAAUAGCAAGGUGGACCCUUUGCCAGACGAGCACCUGAUUAUUCUGUGGCUCCGCCGGCGACUUGCUUGGUCCACGCGGUUGUCAACUCGUUCAUUUGUGUGAUGGGCAGCAACGCAGGAGGACCUCCAGGACAAAGGGAGAGGACCCAGGGAAGUACCCAAUAGUAAUAAGUGUGUUAUGAAAACGAGUAAAAUUAAACAAAUCAUUGUCGGGUUCUCAUUCAUUCAUUCGCAUUUGUAUCUAUUGUAUUUUAAUUUUGUGCAAUUUCUUUUAACAAUUGGUCACAUUGACAGUAGAUUGUGAACGGCAUACGUAGUU